rnacentral:rRNA from 1 species
CCUACGGGUGGCAGCAGUGGGGAAUCUUGGGCAAUGGGCGCAAGCCUGACCCAGCAACGCCGCGUGAAGGAAGAAGGCUCUCGGGUUGUAAACUUCUUUUAUAAGGGAAGAAGCAGGUGACGGUACCUGAUGAAUAAGCCACGGCUAACUACGUGCCAGCAGCCGCGGUAAUAAGUAGGUGGCAGGCGUUAUCCGGAUUUAAUGGGUGUAAAGGACGAGUAGGGGGGAAAGCAAGUCAGAUGUGAAAACCAUGGGCUCAACCUGUGGCCUGCAUUUGAAACUGUUUUUCUUGAGUACUGGAGAGGCAGACGGAAUUCCUAGUGUAGCGGUGAAAUGCGUAGAUAUUAGGAGGAACACCAGUGGCGAAGGCGGUCUGCUGGACAGCAACUGACGCUGAGGCGCGAAAGCGUGGGGAGCAAACAGGAUUAGAUACCCCGGUAGUC